rnacentral:lncRNA from 1 species
GGCUAAAGAAGCACUGCACCUCAAGGACUCAGCAUUGUUUCUUCUUGCCCAGAGGAGAAGAUAUCUAAGAAGCAGCGAUGUGAUCUGGGACAUAAGAGUAAGGGACAUGAAAGUGUGCAAGGUUGGUCACACAGAAGGAGCCAGCAUGCUACUUGUAGCUGGACAGCUUUCCCAGAAUUCCAUGGGCUUAGCUUUGCUGCCUUUUUUGGGGGGCCCUGAUCUUGGAGAACCAGAAAAACCAAGCAACAGAGAGAAGGUGGUGGUGGGAUGAAGGUGAGCAGAAUGGUGAAUGGUGGAGAAAGCCAUGCAUGACAAUCAGAGAGAUACCUACAAACCAUCGCUGGGAAAAGCUUCUGAGACAUAAGCCACAAAGGCCUACUGGAAAAUCAGAAUUGAUGUAAUUGUGAUGUAAUUGGCCAUCAACAAGAGGGCAAGUGUCAGGAACCUAUAGCUCCAUAGUAGUGAGAGCUGGCCCCAGAGUUAGGACUGAAUUUGGGAUUCUUUUCACCUUAUAGCAAAGUCUCUUGUCCCUUUUGUGGUUGCUUGUUAAUUCUUUAACCAUUACAUUCUAUUUAGAUUUUGCUUACCUCCCAUAAAGCCCUAUUGGCUGGCAGAACUGCUAAACUGCUAUUUUAGAGUCCACACAGGAAAGGAUUCAGUUGUAUUUAAUUCUUGUGAGUCCUAGAGAUUUGGCUUCAUUAUUCAUCAAGCUCUAGCCUUGACUUUCUAGACUUUCUCUACUAUGCCACAGCAAUUUCCUCAUCCUGCAAGUUAACUCUGUUCCCUGUGGCUACUUCCCCUAAUCAGUUAGGUCAUCCCAGGACCUUCACUUUAAGAAAGUUUCCAGCCUUUUAAAAUAUCUCUUAGGGGAUUUCCAGGAGUCAUGAUUGCAGAAUAAGCAUGAAAUCGCCAUAACUCUUAUACUCACCUGCAAACAACCAAAAAAUAGCACCCCAGAACAAAUCCUGGAACUAUGGAACCAACAAAAAGAUGGAGUGAGAUAGUCUUCUAAUUCAAGAAACUUGGAAGAUUCACACAAAAGGUCUGUCUCAUUCAGGUAAAACAGGAGUGUAGUACAGAACAGGAAGUGUUGUACAGUGUAGUACAGAACAGCAAGGCCACAGCAAGCCACACCUCAGCAAACCAGCCAGAGAUCCUAAACCCCAGUGUGCUGGAGCAGGCAAAUGCCAACAUCAGGACCCCCCACAUGUCUCAGCACAGCCAGGUGAAUGGGCAGCCUCUAGCUCCGAGAACUGCCACAUAUUUCAGCU